rnacentral:rRNA from 1 species
AUGUCCACCACAAUGAAUCAUAACCCUGAAUUGUUAUUAAAAAAACAUAUCUGUGAAACCUUACAUUUGUUACUGUUCCUGGCAUACAGUCCGUGCUUUUGUCUUCAGGAACUUUACAUCAUUAUCUUGUUUAAGCAUCCAGAAUAUAUAUCUUCAGUAACCUAUUUAACAAUGCUUUUUAGCUUUUUCCCAUGUUGUAACAUACUUCCUGUGCUGUGUGAUAAUCUACUGAUGGCCAGUUACAGCUCAAUUUCACCAUGGACAUUGCAUAUGAUGUUCUUUAUUCUCAGCGAAGCAAACAUCUCAUUUGUUUCUCAUACUAUUCUCUACAAAAACUAG